GGGGAAUCUUAGACAAUGGGGGCAACCCUGAUCUAGCCAUGCCGCGUGAGUGAUGAGGGCCUUAGGGUUGUAAGGCUCUUUCAGCUGGGAAGAUAAUGACGGUACCAGCAGAAGAAGCCCCGGCUAACUCCGUGCCAGCAGCCGCGGUAAUACGGAGGGGGCUAGCGUUGUUCGGAAUUACUGGGCGUAAAGCGCACGUAGGCGGACCAGAAAGUUGGGGGUGAAAUCCCGGGGCUCAACCUCGGAACUGCCUUCAAAACUAUUGGUCUGGAGUUCGAGAGAGGUGAGUGGAAUUCCGAGUGUAGAGGUGAAAUUCGUAGAUAUUCGGAGGAACACCAGUGGCGAAGGCGGCUCACUGGCUCGAUACUGACGCUGAGGUGCGAAAGCGUGGGAGCAAAC
rnacentral:rRNA from 1 species